GGGCCCGUAGCCUAGCCAGGAUAGGGCGCCGGCCUUCGGAGCCGGAGGUCCCGGGUUCAAAUCCCGGCGGGCCCGCCA
rnacentral:tRNA from 1 species